GACGAACCGUGCGAACGUUGUUCGGAUUCACUGGGCUUAAAGGGCGCGUAGGCGGGCGGUCAAGUCGGGGGUGAAAUCUUUCAGCUUAACUGGAAAAGUGCCUCCGAUACUGAUCGCCUCGAGGGAGGUAGGGGCAUGUGGAACUUCCGGUGGAGCGGUGAAAUGCGUAGAUAUCGGAAGGAACGCCGGUGGCGAAAGCGACGUGCUGGACCUCUUCUGACGCUGAGGCGCGAAAGCUAGGGGGAGCAAACGGGG
rnacentral:rRNA from 1 species